rnacentral:tRNA from 1 species
AUUUCUUUAGUUUAAUUUAAAAUAUAACUCUGAAGAAGUUAAGAUAGUUAGAAAU